UACAGAGGGUGCGAGCGUUGUCCGGAUUUACUGGGCGUAAAGGGCGCGUAGGCGGCCACCGCAAGUCAAUUGUGAAAUCUCCGGGCUUAACUCGGAAAGGUCAACUGAUACUGCGGGGCUAGAGUGCGGAAGGGGCAACUGGAAUUCUCGGUGUAGCGGUGAAAUGCGUAGAUAUCGAGAGGAACACCUGCGGCGAAGGCGGGUUGCUGGGCCGACACUGACGCUGAUGCGCGAAAGCCAGGGGAGCGAACGGG
rnacentral:rRNA from 1 species